GACGAACCGUACGAACGUUAUUCGGAAUCACUGGGCUUAAAGGGUGCGUAGGCUGCGCGGCAAGUUGGGUGUGAAAUCCCUCGGCUCAACCGAGGAACUGCGCCCAAAACUGCCGUGCUCGAGGGAGACAGAGGUGAGCGGAACUUAGGGUGGAGCGGUGAAAUGCGUUGAUAUCCUAAGGAACACCGGUGGCGAAAGCGGCUCACUGGGUCUCUUCUGACGCUGAGGCACGAAAGCUAGGGUAGCGAACGGG
rnacentral:rRNA from 1 species